GAGAGUUUGAUCCUGGCUCAGGAUGAACGCUAGCUACAGGCUUAACACAUGCAAGUCGAGGGGCAGCAUGGUCUUAGCUUGCUAAGGCCGAUGGCGACCGGCGCACGGGUGAGUAACACGUAUCCAACCUGCCGUCUACUCUUGGACAGCCUUCUGAAAGGAAGAUUAAUACAAGAUGGCAUCAUGAGUCCGCAUGUUCACAUGAUUAAAGGUAUUCCGGUAGACGAUGGGGAUGCGUUCCAUUAGAUAGUAGGCGGGGUAACGGCCCACCUAGUCUUCGAUGGAUAGGGGUUCUGAGAGGAAGGUCCCCCACAUUGGAACUGAGACACGGUCCAAACUCCUACGGGAGGCAGCAGUGAGGAAUAUUGGUCAAUGGGCGAGAGCCUGAACCAGCCAAGUAGCGUGAAGGAUGACUGCCCUAUGGGUUGUAAACUUCUUUUAUAAAGGAAUAAAGUCGGGUAUGGAUACCCGUUUGCAUGUACUUUAUGAAUAAGGAUCGGCUAACUCCGUGCCAGCAGCCGCGGUAAUACGGAGGAUCCGAGCGUUAUCCGGAUUUAUUGGGUUUAAAGGGAGCGUAAAUGGAUGUUUAAGUCAGUUGUGAAAGUUUGCGGCUCAACCGUAAAAUUGCAGUUGAUACUGGAUAUCUUGAGUGCAGUUGAGGCAGGCGGAAUUCGUGGUGUAGCGGUGAAAUGCUUAGAUAUCACGAAGAACUCCAAUUGCGAAGGCAGCCUGCUAAGCUGCAACUGACAUUGAGGCUCGAAAGUGUGGGUAUCAAACAGGAUUAGAUACCCUGGUAGUCCACACGGUAAACGAUGAAUACUCGCUGUUUGCGAUAUACUGCAAGCGGCCAAGCGAAAGCGUUAAGUAUUCCACCUGGGGAGUACGCCGGCAACGGUGAAACUCAAAGGAAUUGACGGGGGCCCGCACAAGCGGAGGAACAUGUGGUUUAAUUCGAUGAUACGCGAGGAACCUUACCCGGGCUUAAAUUGCAGAUGAAUUACGGUGAAAGCCGUAAGCCGCAAGGCAUCUGUGAAGGUGCUGCAUGGUUGUCGUCAGCUCGUGCCGUGAGGUGUCGGCUUAAGUGCCAUAACGAGCGCAACCCUUGUUGUCAGUUACUAACAGGUUCUGCUGAGGACUCUGACAAGACUGCCAUCGUAAGAUGUGAGGAAGGUGGGGAUGACGUCAAAUCAGCACGGCCCUUACGUCCGGGGCUACACACGUGUUACAAUGGGGGGUACAGAGGGCCGCUACCACGCGAGUGGAUGCCAAUCCCAAAAACCUCUCUCAGUUCGGACUGGAGUCUGCAACCCGACUCCACGAAGCUGGAUUCGCUAGUAAUCGCGCAUCAGCCACGGCGCGGUGAAUACGUUCCCGGGCCUUGUACACCCCGCCCGUCAAGCCAUGGGAGCCGGGGGUACCUGAAGUGCGUAACCGCGAGGAGCGCCCUAGGGUAAAACUGGUGACUGGGGCUAAGUCGUAACAAGGUAGCCG
rnacentral:rRNA from 1 species